GAUGAACGCUAGCGGGAGGCCUAACACAUGCAAGCCGAGCGGUAGAGUCUCUUCGGAGCCUUGAGAGCGGCGCACGGGUGCGGAACACGUGUGCAAACUCCCUUUAUCUGGGGGAUAGCCUUUCGAAGGGACGAUUAAUACCCCAUAAUAUACUGGAUGGCAUCAUCUGGUAUUGAAAACUCCGGUGGAUAGAGAUGGGCACGCGCAAGAUUAGAUAGUUGGUGAGGUAACGGCUCACCAAGUCAGCGAUCUUUAGGGGGCCUGAGAGGGUGAUCCCCCACACGGGGACUGAGACACGGACCAGACUCCUACGGGAGGCAGCAGUGAGGAAUAUUGGACAAUGGGUGAGAGCCUGAUCCAGCCAUCCCGCGUGAAGGACGACGGCCCUAGGGGUUGUAAACUUCUUUUGUAUAGGGAUAAACCUAGAUACGUGUAUCUAGCUGAAGGUACUAUACGAAUAAGCACCGGCUAACUCCGUG
rnacentral:rRNA from 1 species